rnacentral:rRNA from 1 species
AUUGAACGCUGGCGGCAUGCCUUACACAUGCAAGUCGAACGGUAACAGGUUAAGCUGACGAGUGGCGAACGGGUGAGUAAUGUAUCGGAACGUGCCCAGUUGUGGGGGAUAACUGCUCGAAAGAGCAGCUAAUACCGCAUACGACCCGAGGGUGAAAGCGGGGGAUCGCAAGACCUCGCGCAAUUGGAGCGGCCGAUAUCAGAUUAGGUAGUUGGUGGGGUAGAGGCCUACCAAGCCGACGAUCUGUAGCUGGUCUGAGAGGACGACCAGCCACACUGGGACUGAGACACGGCCCAGACUCCUACGGGAGGCAGCAGUGGGGAAUUUUGGACAAUGGGGGAAACCCUGAUCCAGCCAUGCCGCGUGCGGGAAGAAGGCCUUCGGGUUGUAAACCGCUUUUGUCAGGGAAGAAACGCUCUGGGCUAAUACCUCGGAGUAAUGACGGUACCUGAAGAAUAAGCACCGGCUAACUACGUGCCAGCAGCCGCGGUAACAC